rnacentral:rRNA from 1 species
UACGGGGGGAGCAAGCGUUGUUCGGAUUUACUGGGCGUAAAGGGCGCGUAGGCGGCCACUGCAAGUCGGUUGUGAAAUCUCCGGGCUUAACCCGGAAAGGUCAAUCGAUACUGCAGGGCUAGAGUGCAGAAGGGGCAACUGGAAUUCUCGGUGUAGCGGUGAAAUGCGUAGAUAUCGAGAGGAACACCUGCGGCGAAGGCGGGUUGCUGGGCUGACACUGACGCUGAAGCGCGAAAGCUAGGGGAGCGAACGGG